rnacentral:rRNA from 1 species
UACGGAGGGUGCGAGCGUUGUCCGGAAUCACUGGGCGUAAAGGGCGCGUAGGUGGCUACUCAAGCGCGCGGUGAAAGCCCGGGGCUCAACCCCGGGUCGGCCGUGCGGACUGGGAGCUCGAGCACUGUAGGGGCGGGUGGAAUUCCGGGUGUAGCGGUGGAAUGCGUAGAGAUCCGGAAGAACACCGGUGGCGAAGGCGGCCCGCUGGGCAGGAAGGGGUGGGUAACCACCCCGGCUGACACUGGAGGCGCGACAGCGUGGGGAGCAAACAGG